CCGGACUCCUACGGGAGGCUGCAGUAACGAAUAUUCCGCAAUGCACGAAAGUGUGACGGAGCAAUGCCGCGUGCAGGAUGAAUCCCCUCGGGGUGUAAACUGCUGUCAGUGACUAGAAAAAAAAUGAUCAGUCGCAAAGGAAGGACCGGCUAAUCUCGUGCCAGCAGCCGCGGUAAUACGAGAGGUCCGAGCGUUACGCGGAAUUACUGGGCUUAAAGCGUACGUAGGCGGAUCUACAGGUAUCCUGUGAAAGCCCACGGCUCAACCGUGGAAUUGCAGGGUAAACCGUAGAUCUUGAGGUGGCUAGGGGCUCUCGGAACGGUAGGUGGAGUGGUGAAAUGCGUUGAUAUCUACCGGAACGCCAAAGGGGAAGCCAGGGAGCUGGGGCCAUUCUGACGCUGAGGUACGAAAGCGUGGGUAGCGAACGGGAUUAGAUACCCCGGUAGUCCACGCCGUAAACGAUGUGCACUAGGUCGAGGGGGUUUGACGCCGCUCUCGGCUGAAGCGAAAGUGUUAAGUGCACCGCCUGGGGAGUACGGCCGCAAGGCUAAAACUCAAAGGAAUUGACGGGGGCUCACACAAGCGGUGGAGCAUGUGGCUUAAUUCGAAGCAACGCGAAGAACCUUAUCCUGGGUUUGACAUGCAUGGAUUAGCUUCCUGAAAGGGAAGUGACGCGGCUUGCCGUGGAACAUGCACAGGUGCUGCAUGGCUGUCGUCAGCUCGUGCUGUGAAGUGUCGGGUUAAGUCCCUUAACGAGCGCAACCCCUAUCACUAGUUGCUAGCGAGUAAUGUCGAGGACUCUAGUGAGACUGCCGGUGUCAAACCGGAGGAAGGUGGGGAUGACGUCAAGUCCGCAUGGCCUUUAUGCCCAGGGCUGCACACGUGCUACAAUGGUUGGUACAGAACGAAGCAAGACCGCAAGGUGGAGCAAAUCGCUAAAGCCAACCUCAGUUCGGAUUGUGGGCUGAAAUUCGCCCACAUGAAGUUGGAAUCGCUAGUAAUCGGGGAUCAGCUACGCCCCGGUGAAUACGUUCCUGAGCCUUGUACACACCGCCCGUCAAGUCAUGGAAGCUGGUAGUACCCGAAGUCGCCCCAUUUCAGGGGUGCCCACGGUAAGGCCGGUGACUGGGACUAAGUCGUAACAAGGUAGCCGUAGGGGAACCUGCGGCUG
rnacentral:rRNA from 1 species